AGGAGAUUAAGUUAAUGGUAAACUUAUAGCCUUCAAAGUUAUCAAUAUUGGUUCAAAUCCAAUAUCUCCUG
rnacentral:tRNA from 1 species